UUGGCUGCAUCACUGGUACUGAGGU
rnacentral:miRNA from 1 species